rnacentral:rRNA from 1 species
UGGGGAAUAUUGGACAAUGGGGGAAACCCUGAUCCAGCGAUGCCGCGUGAAUGAAGAAGGCCUUAGGGUUGUAAAGUUCUUUCACCUGUGACGAUGAUGACGGUAACAGGAGAAGAAGCCCCGGCUAACUCCGUGCCAGCAGCCGCGGUAAGACGGAGGGGGCUAGCGUUGUUCGGAAUGACUGGGCGUAAAGGGCGCGUAGGCGGCUUAUCAAGUCAGGUGUGAAAGCCUUGGGCUUAACCCAAGAAUUGCGCUUGAUACUGAUAAGCUAGAGGAUGAUAGAGGAAAGCGGAAUUCCUAGUGUAGAGGUGAAAUUCGUAGAUAUUAGGAAGAACACCAGAGGCGAAGGCGGCUUUCUGGAUCAUAUCUGACGCUGAGGCGCGAAAGCGUGGGGAGCAAACA